rnacentral:rRNA from 2 species
UUAAAUUGAAGAGUUUGAUCAUGGCUCAGAUUGAACGCUGGCGGCAGGCCUAACACAUGCAAGUCGAACGGUAACAGGAAACAGCUUGCUGUUUCGCUGACGAGUGGCGGACGGGUGAGUAAUGUCUGGGAAACUGCCUGAUGGGGGGGGAUAACUACUGGAAACGGUAGCUAAUACCGCAUAACGUCGCAAGACCAAAGAGGGGGACCUUCGGGCCUCUUGCCAUCGGAUGUGCCCAGAUGGGAUUAGCUUGUUGGUGGGGUAACGGCUCACCAAGGCGACGAUCCCUAGCUGGUCUGAGAGGAUGACCAGCCACACUGGAACUGAGACACGGUCCAGACUCCUACGGGAGGCAGCAGUGGGGAAUAUUGCACAAUGGGCGCAAGCCUGAUGCAGCCAUGCCGCGUGUAUGAAGAAGGCCUUCGGGUUGUAAAGUACUUUCAGCGGGGAGGAAGGGAGUAAAGUUAAUACCUUUACUCAUUGACGUUACCCGCAGAAGAAGCACCGGCUAACUCCGUGCCAGCAGCCGCGGUAAUACGGAGGGUGCAAGCGUUAAUCGGAAUUACUGGGCGUAAAGCGCACGCAGGCGGUUUGUUAAGUCAGAUGUGAAAUCCCCGGGCUCAACCUGGGAACUGCAUCUGAUACUGGCAAGCUUGAGUCUCGUAGAGGGGGGUAGAAUUCCAGGUGUAGCGGUGAAAUGCGUAGAGAUCUGGAGGAAUACCGGUGGCGAAGGCGGCCCCCUGGACGAAGACUGACGCUCAGGUGCGAAAGCGUGGGGAGCAAACAGGAUUAGAUACCCUGGUAGUCCACGCCGUAAACGAUGUCGACUUGGAGGUUGUGCCCUUGAGGCGUGGCUUCCGGAGCUAACGCGUUAAGUCGACCGCCUGGGGAGUACGGCCGCAAGGUUAAAACUCAAAUGAAUUGACGGGGGCCCGCACAAGCGGUGGAGCAUGUGGUUUAAUUCGAUGCAACGCGAAGAACCUUACCUGGUCUUGACAUCCACGGAAGUUUUCAGAGAUGAGAAUGUGCCUUCGGGAACCGUGAGACAGGUGCUGCAUGGCUGUCGUCAGCUCGUGUUGUGAAAUGUUGGGUUAAGUCCCGCAACGAGCGCAACCCUUAUCCUUUGUUGCCAGCGGUCCGGCCGGGAACUCAAAGGAGACUGCCAGUGAUAAACUGGAGGAAGGUGGGGAUGACGUCAAGUCAUCAUGGCCCUUACGACCAGGGCUACACACGUGCUACAAUGGCGCAUACAAAGAGAAGCGACCUCGCGAGAGCAAGCGGACCUCAUAAAGUGCGUCGUAGUCCGGAUUGGAGUCUGCAACUCGACUCCAUGAAGUCGGAAUCGCUAGUAAUCGUGGAUCAGAAUGCCACGGUGAAUACGUUCCCGGGCCUUGUACACACCGCCCGUCACACCAUGGGAGUGGGUUGCAAAAGAAGUAGGUAGCUUAACCUUCGGGAGGGCGCUUACCACUUUGUGAUUCAUGACUGGGGUGAAGUCGUAACAAGGUAACCGUAGGGGAACCUGCGGUUGGAUCACCUCCUUACCUUAAAGAAGC